rnacentral:tRNA from 1 species
GCCUGGGUGGCUCAGUGGUUGAGUGUCAGCCUUUGGCUCAGGGUGUGGUUCCAGAGUCCCGGGAUCAAGUCCCACCUCAGGCU